UCUGUAUAAAAUCUCAAAGGUCGACGGAAUAAUAAAAUAUAUAACGUUAUACGAACGUACUGGAUUUCGACGGUUCUUUUUCCGUUUUCUUUUUUACGUGUCGUAAGCCGUGGCCGGACUAACAUCAAACGCCGCUCGCGCGGUAGGUACAGGUACCUAGGUAUACUUAUCGGUCACGCACAUCACACACCGCCGCCUAUAUAUCGUCUAAUUGCCAUUAACGUGUGAACCGGCUGUUCAAAACAUCGAAACGGUCACGACGGUGGAGGCCCCACGCACUCGGGUACACCUCCGAUGGACGAUAUAGUUACCACCGUCUCUGAAUCGAAAAACACCAUAUUAUCGUAUAAUGUGCAUACUAAUAUACCUUAAUAUAAUUACGUGUGUGUGUGUGUGUGUGUAAAGUGUACAGUGUACAUGGAUCGCGAUGUCGAUUAAAAACGAGUAAAAUGUAAGCGAUCGGUGGCAGCAGCGGCGGCGACGGUUGAAACCUUCCGGUCUUUUCCUGCUGCAGUCGUGUAAUGAUGGAAAACGUGAGCCGCCCAUUUCCCCCGAAAACCGUUUCUGGAUGGUUGUUGACGGAAAAAAAAAUUUCAUCGUCGACGAAAUAGCAACAAUGCAUUAUAUUAUAUACUUCACUUCAUGCGGCUUUACAAUACGAUAUAUUAUAAGAACGCAAAAUUAUAACAUAGCAGCUAUACCCAUGUUAUAGAAGCUUAUUAGUUUGUUUAUAUUUUUUCAGUUCGUUAAUGUAUUAUACCUACCUAAUAUUUA